rnacentral:rRNA from 1 species
AGCAGCCGCGGUAAUUCCAGCUCCAAUAGCGUAUAUUAAAGUUGUUGCAGUUAAAAAGCUCGUAGUUGAAUUUCGGGAUCAGUAGGCUGGUCGUGCCACAGGUAUGUACUGGUCUCACUGAUUCCUCCUUCCUGAAGAACCGUAAUGCCAUUAAUUUGGUGUUGCGGGGAAACAGGACUGUUACUUUGAAAAAAUUAGAGUGUUUAAAGCAGGCUAACGCUUGAAUACAUUAGCAUGGAAUAAUGAAAUAGGACGAUCGAUCCUAUUUUGUUGGUUUCUAGGAUUGACGUAAUGAUUAAUAGGGAUAGUUGGGGGCAUUAGUAUUCAAUUGUCAGAGGUGAAAUUCUUGGAUUUAUUGAAGGCUAACUACUGCGAAAGCAUUUGCCAAGGAUGUUUUCAUUAAUCAAGAACGAAAGUUAGGGGAUCGAAGACGAUCAGAUACCGUCGUAG